rnacentral:lncRNA from 1 species
CAGCAAACCUCAACCCGGGGUGCCGGUAGGUCCCUCACUGUGAGCCGGUCCUCUCACGCUGCUCAGGGCGGCACAGCAGAGAGCAGGCCCAGCCGCUGACCAGGCCUGGACUCUGGACUGAGACAGACCUGGGUCUGACACGGGGCCCAACGCCUCCUGCCCGAGUGGCCUUGGGCGUGCCACUCAGCCCCUCUGUGCCUCCUCCCCCAAGAAAGGAGGUAAGCCACCUAUCGCCGGCUGAGCUUUAAUGAACCAACUUCACCCAAAUCGAAAGAAGCAAAAGGAUCCAAUCAGGCAGUGGCCCCAAAGGGGACUUCCCCACCAAGACGGGAGCUUCCCCCAGGUCACACUCUGCUCCAUCUUCUGGGGACCCCCAGCCUGGAGGUUCCUCUCUCUAGAGACCUCAGUGCCAGAGGAAUAAAUGGCUCAAAUAUCUUCUCUUUUUGCCCUAAAAGACAGACCGUUACCACCAGAAUGGACCCAGACCAUAAGUCCCGGAAGCAGCGAGGCCAUGCCCAUCGUUCCCCCGUCAACUGCCAGCCUCCAGCCCGGGGCCAAGCGCACGGCACGUGCUUGAUAAAUAAUUCUCAGUUUAUGAAAAAGCGAAUGUCGGAGCCAAGCUCUGGAAGUCCCGGGAGAUCUUUUAAAAAGAUGCUUUUUUAAAGACGUAUUCCCAAAUUCUCCAGCCGGGAUGGUGACUGAUGGCUCUGGAAGCAGCGCAAACAGGCCGGGCCGGGCUGGCGCUUUACAAGGACAAACGCGCAUCAGGCGCUCCGUGCCCUCAACGGAGCCGCGCUUUAUCUCUGCCUGCAGAACGCAUCGAUCUCGACGUCAAUCAGAACCAGCUCGCCUCGUAACUCACACAACAGGCUGGGGAGCUGAUCAAACGCUCUGUUAAAGCGGCACUUUAAUAACAAUAUCGCUUAGAUCUCAACUGCUUAAUUAGAUUUCACUCAUUGCCAUCACUUGCCUCAUUUGAACGGCUCGUUUAUAAUUUACGGUCUUUAUGCAUUUGGUUGUUCAUUUGUAAAAUGAGAGAGAACAACCACCAGGCAAAGGAAAGCGGGAGAAGAAAUGGAUUUGACUUCUCCCAGGGGCCAAGGGGCCUGCAAGUGGGAGGCCUGCGGCCAAGCGGAGAGCAGGCUCAGAAUCUCUCGCUCCUCUGCUAGAAGCUUCUACGGUUCCUCUGGACAAGUACCCCCGGCCCUACGUCUUUGCGGUUGGCGCUUCCUCCAGCUUCAGACAUAGGCUCCGCCCAUCAGCUUGUCUGACUCCGAUCAGCACCAGGAUUAGUUCAGGAAUAGGCACAUGAUCAACCCCACCCAAUGAGAACGAGCCUUGGGAUAUUUGCUGCAACUCCCAGGACAGAGUCUGCAGCGCCAGGGGGCCAGCCUCCCUCUGAGAUGCUGCCGUCCUACAGUGAAACUCACGUGGUUGCGGCAGGACCGCUGCAAACUGCUCCAGCUCUAAGUGUCCAAAGUUACCACGACCGCUUAUGUAACGGGUGCCGCCUUGAGCUCACUGUGUAACCGCAUUGGGCUCAUUAUGUAAUGGCCUGCCCGUGGGCCCUGAGCAGGCCCAGUUGUUACACAGCUGUAACAUAUCCUCCGCCCUCUGGGCACUAAGCGUGGGGGUGGGGGAGAGACCUCCUUUGGGAGCUAUCCACCGUGCUCUCCAUUGCUUGUGCAAGCAAUAAAGCUUUUUUCUUCGCCCA